CCGGCCUGACCUGCCGUCUAGGGGUCUCCCCGUCCGGCGGCUGCUUCCCGGCCACCAGCUUUGAGUUACUCGGGCCGAUCAGGACGACUAAUAGCAGCAAGCUGGCUGAGCAUCCGCUGCGUGCCACGCGGUUUAACCGCCCCGUGGGAGGGGACUCAAAUCCUGCCGGGACUAAACCCAGGCAGCGGCUUGCACCGUCUCUUUAUCACUUUGCAAAGUUAGUGUAAGAGAGGCACCAAAACAGCUGUGCCUGUGGCUGACAGCGCCGGGGGCCCCGGGGGCUCUACGCCGAGAAUCGGGCCAGGGGUCUCCUGGGGGAAGAGGGGUGGGCGCGGGGCUGAGCAGCAGCUCUGACCUCCCCUUUCUCCCUCUGGGUCCUCUUCGAUCUGCCCCCUCGAAGAACCUUGACUUCUGAGUACUGGCUCGCAGCCUUUGACCGUUUCCCAACCAGAGUCUGCCCUGGCCUGCCCCCCAGCGCCCCUCCCACCCUGCUGCCUCCAUGUGCCCCAGACCCCAGGGCCAUAGCUCUGCCCCUGCUUCCCAAUCACGGCCUGUCCCCGAAGCUCAGGAUAAGAUGACAACACGUGCAUGACAGCUGGCUCUGUGCAGGAGCUCUCUUGGGGUGUGUCCUGGUCUUUGUCCUUACUUGCCCCUUCCUCUCUGACCUCUACAUGCACCUGUCACACCAGGCCCUAAAAACCUGUCAUUCUCCGUAGUGGCCUCAUCCGACUUGAGCUCUUCCCGCCAUCCCUCCUCUGCCCUGAGCUCACCUAGCUAGUUUUCUCUGCAGCUGUGUCACGACCGUGGCUACCUGGUGACCCAGGAUGAGCUGGACCAGACACUGGAAGAGUUCAAGGCCCAGUUUGGGGACAAGCCGAGUGAGGGGCGGCCACGGCGCACAGACCUCACAGUGCUGGUGGCCCACAACGACGACCCCACUGACCAGAUGUUCGUCUUCUUCCCAGAGGAGCCGAAAGUGGGGAUCAAGACUAUCAAGGUGUACUGCCAGCGGAUGCAGGAGGAGAAUAUCACCCGGGCCCUCAUCGUGGUGCAGCAGGGCAUGACCCCCUCCGCCAAGCAGCUGGUCCCAGAGCACGUCGUCAUGACCAAGGAGGAGGUGACAGAGCUGCUGGCCCGGUAGUAUCCUUUUGCUCCCCGCCCUGGGCCCGUCUCCUCCCCUCCCACCCGCACGCCCCCACUCCCCCCCCAGCCAGCGGAGCCUUUUUUUUCCUCACGCCGUCCUCACGCGGGCGCAGGGCCUGCUGUGUGGCCCCACGCCAGCCCUGCUCUCUCAUGCCCACAGGUGGUGAAGAUCAUCCGGCCCAGCGAGACCGCGGGCAGAUACAUCACCUACCGGCUGGGGGGGAACCCGCCNNNNNNNNNNNNNNNNNNNNNNNNNNNNNNNNNNNCGCAGGGCCUGUGGGGUGUGGGGACGGGACUCUCCCUGUUGGGUGCAGGAAGGGCCCGUCCGUCCCAGGAGUGAGCCCCGUCUUCCUGUCCCCCCCAGUCCUCUGUGUCACCUCCCCGGGGGGGGCUUGGAGGCAACCCCACUUCCCGUUCAUCUGGUCUCGCCUCACACAACAGACGUGACACGUGGUCGUCCUUCCUUCCCUCUCCCGCCCUGUGGCCUGGAGACAGAUGGGGCUGUGGCCACCCCACCCCCCAGGGACUGUACCACUGCUGCUCUGGACCCCGGGGUGGCCUCAUCUGGAUGCCAAGCGCCACCCUGGACCCUGCAUAAGCGUGCCUCCGGAAGGGACAGGACGCCACAGGGAGGCCCGCGGCAGCUGGUGACCCACAGCAGUCCUGGCUCAAGUGUCUGGCCAGCCCCCACCACGGUGCUGUCACCGGGCCCCACCGGGGUGGCCCCGAGGCUGGCUGUGAGCACACCCGGGGCCACAGGGAGGGAGUUGCUAUUUGAUGCCAGGUGUUUUAAAAAUUAAACGUAUUUGAGUAAAUAACUGGCCCGUGUGGAGACGCAAGGCGGAAUGGCAGGUUUGCAGCGAGUGGCCGCGCUCGAGGCUCUAGCCCCAGGCCCGCCCCCUCGUUCUGCGGCACCUGCUCCCCCUCCCCCCAGGGUGGCCACGUCCAGGCACAUCCCCGUCCAGAGCCUGCGGUGGGGCGGGCAGCGUGGGGCAGGGCAGCGCUGCUAGUUGCUCUCGGCUCUCCUGGUGCUUUUCUUGCAUCGAAGUUUGUGGUCAGGUUGCCCAGUUUCCCCGUUAGCGUCUGAUUUCAGGAGGGCUUCCUGGCGUGGGUUAGAAGGUUUGCUCUUCUUUUUCUUCUGAGAACUGCGUUGUUGAGAUCGAGUUCACGUGCCACGGCGUGUUCGCAGCACACCGCUCAGUGGCUUUUAAGUCCCGUCACUGUUAGAACUUGUCAUCAGCUCAAAAACAGUC
ensembl:lncRNA